rnacentral:sRNA from 1 species
CUGACAUCAGAGACCCUGGGCGGGGUUGAGGUUCUCUUGCAUAUCCUUUUUGACAAAAGAGAAACAAUUCCUUCUCAAAUUGCACUGCAAAGAAUAAGAAAACAUAAUCCCCUUGGAGAUAUUCUCUGCUCUCAGUCUGAAGGAGAAAAAGCUCCCCAGGAUUCCUAAAUAACAGAGAAGUUUGUAGUGUAGGAAGAAUCUAGAAGUUGGGUUGGAGAGAAAUGUGGGAAAGUCUUACUUUUAAAGAGACAUUCCCUAAAGAUGGGGAAGAAGUUCUGAAACAGUGAUGUACCAGUGACCAUGAAUGUUUCAGAGAAGUAUCUGAACACAGUCAUUCCUUACGAGAAGAAAGCCUCUCCUCCCUCAGUGGAAGACCUGCAGAUGCUGACAAACA